rnacentral:rRNA from 1 species
UACGGGGGGAGCAAGCGUUGUUCGGAAUUACUGGGUUUAAAGGGUGCGUAGGCGGUUAUGUAAGUCAGCAAGUGAAAUUCCACAGCUUAACUGUAGGGACUGCUUUUGAUACUGCAUAACUUGAACCAAGAUGAGGUAGGCGGAAUGUGGCAUGUAGCGGUGAAAUGCAUAGAUAUGCCAUAGAACACCGAUUGCGAAGGCAGCUUACUAGACUUGUGUUGACGCUGAGGCACGAAAGCGUGGGGAGCGAACAGG